UAGUACGGCGAGUGAGAGGGAAGAGCCCAAGAUUGAAAGCUGGCGUCUUCGGCGUCCGCAUUGUAAUCUCAAGAAGUGUUUUCCGCUUCGGACCAAGCCUAAGUCCCCUGGAAAGGGGCAUCAUAGAGGGUGAUAAUCCCGUACAUGGCUUGGAGCGCCCGAGGCUUUGUGAUACGCUUUCUAAGAGUAGAGGUGUUUGGGAAUGCAGCUCAAAAUGGGUGGUAAAUGCCAUCUAAGGCUAAAUAUUGGGGAGAGACCGAUAGCGAACAAGUACAGUGAUGGAAAGAUGAAAAGAACUUUGAAAAGAGAGUUAAACAGUACGUGAAAUUGCCAAAAGGGAAGGGUAGGAGGUCAGAGAUGCGGCCUGGGAUUCAGCCUUGCUUUUGCUUGGUGUUUUUCCCAGAUUGCAGGCCAACGUCGGUUUUGGGCACUGGAGAAGGGUAGGAGGAACGUGGCACCCCUCGGGGUGUGUUAUAGCCUCCUACUGGAUACAGCGACCGAGACCGAGGACAGCAGCGUACUCGCAAGAGCGGGCCUUCGGGCACCUUUACGCUUAGGGCGUUGGCAUAAUGGCCCUCUACCACCCGUCUU
rnacentral:rRNA from 1 species